rnacentral:rRNA from 1 species
AUAUGGUCAAGUGAAGAAGCGCAUACGGUGGAUGCCUUGGCAGUCAGAGGCGAUGAAAGACGUGGUAGCCUGCGAAAAGCUUCGGGGAGUCGGCAAACAGACUGUGAUCCGGAGAUAUCUGAAUGGGGGAACCCACCUAGGAUAACCUAGGUAUCUUGUACUGAAUCCAUAGGUGCAAGAGGCGAACCAGGGGAACUGAAACAUCUAAGUACCCUGAGGAAAAGAAAUCAACCGAGAUUCCCUUAGUAGUGGCGAGCGAACGGGGACUAGCCCUUAAGCUUCUUUGAAUCUAACAGAACGCUCUGGAAAGUGCGGCCAUAGUGGGUGAUAGCCCCGUAUGUGAAAGGUUCUUGGAAGUGAAAUCGAGUAGGACGGAGCACGAGAAACUUUGUCUGAAUAUGGGGGGACCAUCCUCCAAGGCUAAAUACUACUGACUGACCGAUAGUGAACCAGUACCGUGAGGGAAAGGCGAAAAGAACCCCGGAGAGGGGAGUGAAAUAGAACCUGAAACCGUAUGCGUACAAGCAGUGGGAGCCAACUUGUUUGGUGACUGCGUACCUUUUGUAUAAUGGGUCAGCGACUUAUAUUCAGUGGCGAGCUUAACCGAAUAGGGAAGGCGUAGCGAAAGCGAGUCUUAAUAGGGCGUUUAGUCGCUGGGUAUAGACCCGAAACCGGGCGAUCUAUCCAUGAGCAGGUUGAAGGUUAGGUAACACUGACUGGAGGACCGAACCCACUCCCGUUGAAAAGGUAGGGGAUGACUUGUGGAUCGGAGUGAAAGGCUAAUCAAGCUCGGAGAUAGCUGGUUCUCCUCGAAAGCUAUUUAGGUAGCGCCUCACGUAUCACUCCAGGGGGUAGAGCACUGUUUCGGCUAGGGGGUCAUCCCGACUUACCAAACCGAUGCAAACUCCGAAUACCUGGAAGUGUCAGCGUGGGAGACACACGGCGGGUGCUAACGUCCGUCGUGAAAAGGGAAACAACCCAGACCGCCAGCUAAGGUCCCAAAGUUGUGGUUAAGUGGUAAACGAUGUGGGAAGGCUUAGACAGCUAGGAGGUUGGCUUAGAAGCAGCCACCCUUUAAAGAAAGCGUAAUAGCUCACUAGUCGAGUCGGCCUGCGCGGAAGAUGUAACGGGGCUCAAACCACACACCGAAGCUGCGGGUGCAUCGUAAGAUGCGCGGUAGAGGAGCGUUCUGUAAGCCUGUGAAGGUGAGUUGAGAAGCUUGCUGGAGGUAUCAGAAGUGCGAAUGCUGACAUGAGUAACGACAAUGGGUGUGAAAAACACCCACGCCGAAAGACCAAGGGUUCCUGCGCAACGUUAAUCGACGCAGGGUUAGUCGGUCCCUAAGGCGAGGCUGAAGAGCGUAGUCGAUGGGAAACAGGUUAAUAUUCCUGUACUUCUAGUUACUGCGAUGGAGGGACGGAGAAGGCUAGGCCAGCUUGGCGUUGGUUGUCCAAGUUUAAGGUGGUAGGCAGAGAUCUUAGGUAAAUCCGGGAU